rnacentral:lncRNA from 1 species
CUCCCAUGCUGUGUGCAUUGGUAUAGAGGCACUUCAGCUUGGCUAUUGGCCUCAUUGCCUUAUCAGAGGAGCCCUCCCUAAUACCUCCAGGGCAAGACUGGGGUUUUCCCUUACCACCUCCCAAGGUGAAAGCAUUCCUGUGGUCUUCUCUGUCACCCAGUACAUCCCCUUCCCCCCAUCAUCUCUAGUUUAAAGCCCUGCUAACCAGCCCAGCCAACUUGUUCCCAAGAAUAUUUGUAGCCCUUCUAGGCAGUCAGCUCCCAUUCGCUGUCAGCAUUCCCCCUUUCUCAAGGCUGCGUCCCAAGCCUGGUUACAGGUCAGCCUCAUAGUCUUGGUCUGUCUGCCUUGACUGGUGGGAGUGUAAAUCAUCAGGUUUGUGUGUCAAGCCUUUGCUCUCAAUUAAUUGCUGCCAUUGGAACGGCACCUAUUAAAGCAUGACCUGUCCAUAAAGCGUGUCGUCAGCACUGCCUGAUGCCUCAUCCUAAGCUGCCUUGUUAUGGGGUCACAUACCAAAUGUGCCAGCACCAUCUGCUGGGACUCCUGGACAACACUGCUGUUAGAAACUCUGCUUUUGGUUGGUGCCUUUGUGUGAUGUGAAAUUCCCUACCAACCUCUGAAAUAGAGCUUUCUCCUAAGCCCUACGCUCCUGUCUGCUAAGCUGUGCAUUCUUAUCACUGCAGAGUGUGGUUCUUGUUUGCUUUUGCAGGUGUUUGUAACUUGGUGAAUAACGCUCUGAAGGCAUCACAGACUGCCUGCUUGUCUCUGCAGUGCUCGGGGCUUUUCUGAGCUGCAGGCUCGCUGCAGCCCCGUGGCAUAGCCUUGCAUCUGGUGACGAACUGAAGCUGGAGAAUCCUGGCAGCAGAGGACGCUCCUGCCCCACCGAAGGGCUCACAGCUCCACCGCAGCUCCACCGACCUCAGUGCUGGUGAGGAGGCUGAGAUGCCUCCAAGUGAUGAAUGCAGUCCACCCAACCUUACACCUCGUGUGGUUCACUGUGCGAGGCGACCAGGAAGAAAGGAUAUUUUACAGGUUCUGACUCAGGUUCAGAGAUUUUAAGUUUACCGUCUGGAAUUAAAGCAUUCUUCAACUGCCUGUUCUGCCACCUGAUCCGCCAUCUUAUCUCCAGUUUCCUGUACAGUGCUACCUUUCUGAUGUCCUUUACAGAGUAUAAUAGCCAUGCUCUUUGGUAGGUGUACAUCAUACUGAAUGUUUUCCUUGUGUGUGAGCAAUCCUUGCUCUUUCCAGAGGGCACUAUGAGCGUGUUCCACCCCAAAAGCAUGUUUAGCAUCUGACCAUGUAUUUAAGGCUCUUGUCAAGGCAGUUAUUGCAGCCUUCUGAGCCAAGUCCCCACAGGCAAUGGUUGUUCGAUUACCUGGUCAGUAGCAGUUACUGCAUAUCCUGCCUUACGGUUGCCUUGUCUCACAACACUGCUUCUGUCGGAUGAACCCAGGAAUCCUCAGCACUGUCCAAUGGUUCCUCCUGUAGGUCUGGCCGACUGGCACAGUCAGUCUCCAAGCAGUCGCACGCUGCCGGUUUGGAGGUAGUUCUGUGUUGGUGUUAGAAUCAUGGAAUGGCCUGGGUUGAGAAGGACCUCAAAGAUCGUCCAGUUCCAACCCCCUGCUAUGUGCAGGGUCACCAACCGACGGACCAGGCUGCCCAGAGCCUUGUCUUGAAGAAGAUUGUUUUUAGGAGAACAAAAACUUUGGAUCACCUUUCAAAUACAGAGAAAAAAAUAACGCUGUAUUAUUUUUUUGUUUUAUUUUCCUGUUGUUAUGAUCAGGUAAAGAGACAGACAUAUCACAUCUCAGAAAUGGCUUUACUUCAGUGGCCUUAAAUGGUCCCUCUGUGAUCAUUAUUUUCUUAUUGAAUCGCUGUCAGACACAGCUGGUGGAUUUUUGUACGUGCAGUUUGGAGUUCCUGGCUAAAAUGAACCACAUGAAUACAGAUUACGGAUAUUCUUAUCUCAGCACGCUUUUGAGAUGGAGCAUUCAAAUUACAAGACCUUCAGUCUGCUGUUUUAAUCUGACCCAGAAGGAAAACUUCACUACAGUUCGUUUCCUUGAUUCCCGUGCAAUUUUAUUUUGGAACUGAAGCUCAAUCGAAUUUAAACAACUUUUUUGAAAGUCUGUAAUGAAAGUUGCAUUUUUGCUUACACGUAGCCGCUUUGACCCACGGUGAAUGGAAGUCAUAAAGCAGGGUAUAAAGGGAGUUUCUAAAUUGCCUGUUGUUGAGUCCAUUGAAGGCAACAGGAGAGUCCAGAAUGUGACCUUUGAGAGCAAAUUUGCCUCUGCUUCUUACUGAAUUUUGUGUUGCGUUUUUCUGUAUAUAUAUUUCUUUUGACUCAGAAAUACAAAUUAUAAUGAAGGUGAGGCACUUCACAAUACGUUUGGCUUCAGCAUUGCUGAAUAUACAUUUGUAUAUGUAUAUAUAUUAUAUAUAUAUUGUACAGCAAAACAUUUCAGAAUCUGCAGAACGUUGCUAAUAACUGCAGUGGAACAGGGAGGAAUAGUGAAAACAGAUUUCUGCUUUGAAUGCUUUCAAAUUUAAUAAUU